rnacentral:tRNA from 1 species
AUCCUCUGGCACAAUGGCUUAGUUGUGUCUGGCUGUUAACCAGAAGGUUGGUGGUUCAAGUCCACCCAGGGAUG